rnacentral:rRNA from 1 species
AUUGAACGCUGGCGGCAGGCCUAACACAUGCAAGUCGAGCGAGCGGCGGACGGGUGAGUAAUGUAUGGGGAACUGCCCGAUGGAGGGGGAUAACUACUGGAAACGGUGGCUAAUACCGCAUACUAUCGGAUGAACCCAGAUGGGAUUAGCUAGUAGGUGGGGUAAAGGCUCACCUAGGCGACGAUCCCUAGCUGGUCUGAGAGGAUGACCAGCCACACUGGGACUGCUAACCGGCCCAGACUCCUACGGGAGGCAGCCGUGGGGAAUAUUGCACAAUGGGCGCAAGCCUGAUGCAGCCAUGCCGCGUGUAUGAAGAAGGCCUUCGGGUUGUAAAGUACUUUCAGCGGGGAGGCGUUACCCGCAGAAGAAGCACCGGCUAACUCCGUGCCAGCAGCCGCGGUAAUAC